GUCCACGCCGUAAACGAUGGAUGCUAGCCGUCGGCCAGCUUGCUGGUCGGUGGCGCAGCUAACGCUUUAAGCAUCCCGCCUGGGGAGUACGGCCGCAAGGUUAAAACUCAAAGGAAUUGACGGGGGCCCCGCACAAGCGGUGGAGCAUGUGGUUUAAUUCGACGCAACGCGAAGAACCUUACCAGCCCUUGACAUGAACCGGAAGCCUCGCAGAGACGUGGGGCGCCGCAAGGCCGGUUCACAGGUGUUGCAUGGCUGUCGU
rnacentral:rRNA from 1 species